CAAAAUUACAAAUAACCAUAAACCUUUCCACUGUAAAAUUUUUGGGUAUACCAGUUCUUUAUGGAUACAUGUUGUAAGAAAGGAUUUUUUUUAAUCUUCUGCAGUAAUCAGGAAGGCAUAGGAAAAAGACCUGGAGAUCAAAAUGGGAAAAACUUUCAUCUGUGGUUUUGAUAAUAAUCCUGACCAAAGAUGCACACAACAGAGCUGUUUAUUUUUAGAGAGAUGUUUCAAGUGUUGUAAAAUAUUAAAUGACACAGGAUCGUACUGCCGAUCAUGUUUGUGCUUUGGGUGCGAAGACAGUUACAUAGAUGUAUUUCCUAAAUCUGGCCAAACAGAGCCUUACGGGAUGCACAAACAAUGAACUCUAGAUAUGUAUAUGUGUGUUUGUCUAACUAAUGUAUAUUGUGGCAAUUGUGUAAUUUAUGAUGAAAGCAAUAAAAUAUAUUUGUCUUCUA